GUGCUGCUAAAGGAAAAAUCGGGUGUUCCGGGGUAAAUAUCCUUUACACAACAUGAGAAGCGAAUGUUAUAAAACUUACAAAAAAUUACAAUAACGAAAACCAUUCCUCGAAAUUUUUGUGAACUUGGCAAAACGAUAAAUGAAUAUUUAAAUAAGACAACUGAAAUUGUCUAAAUAACCUUCAAAGCACCGACUAAGUACGAUAAAUCACUACGAACAUAAAUCGUAUACACCCCCCGGAAAGUUUACUGUAUGA